rnacentral:sRNA from 1 species
ACAUGAACAACGCAAAAUUAACAACAUUCUACAAAAAAGCGUUCCUGCAAAGGCUCCAACCCCAAGGGAGAGGAUGCCCAUGAGGUAUGGAAAUCGUCUAUUAGAAUGGAGAAUAAUGCUGUAAUUGGCUUUAGUCGUCGGUCUUGGGUGCAGUGUCAUCCCCCCCUUCUCUCUCGCUCGAGAGAGAGGGUUUUGUGGGUGGGAUUGCAAUGAUUGGCGGGACAU